GACCAGUGAUGUGAGAAAUAUUUGCUACUCUUGAUGGGGCAUUGAGCCCCAUCUGAUGAUUACUAACCACCAAGAUCUCUGAGGCC
rnacentral:snoRNA from 1 species